rnacentral:rRNA from 1 species
GACGAACGCUGGCGGCGUGCCUAACACAUGCAAGUCGAACGGAAAGGCCCGGCUUGUGGGGUGCUCGCGUGGCGAACGGGUGGGUGACACACGGGUGGUCUACCCCUUACUUUGGGAUGAGUCAGGGAGACUAGGCCUAAUACAGAACGGGACAUUUCUUUAGGCGGAUGGUUGAAAAGUUAAAUUCGGGUUUGGUGUGACCUAGCGACGGAUCCGCGCCGCAUUAGGUAAUUGGCAAAGUAAGGGCUUACCAAGGCAACGGUGCGUAAGCGACCUGAGAGGGUGAUCGGCCACACUGGAACUGAGACACGGUCCAGACUCCUACGGGAGGCAGCAGUAGGGAAUCUUCCGCAAUGGGCGAAAGCCUGACGGAGCAACGCCGCGUGAGUGAUGAAGGUCUUCGGAUCGUAAAACUCUGUUAUUAGGGAAGAACAAAUGUGUAAGUAACUAUGCACGUCUUGACGGUACCUAAUCAGAAAGCCACGGCUAACUACGUG